AUUGAACGCUGGCGGCAGGCUUAACACAUGCAAGUCGAGCGGAGCGGCGGACGGGUGCGUAAUGCUUAGGAAUCUGCCUGGCCGCGGGGGAUAACGUCCGGCAAUGGUCGCUAAUACUGCUUACUAUCAGAUGAGCCUAGGUCGGAUUAGCUAGUUGGUGGGGUAAAGGCCUACCAAGGCGACGGUCCGUAACUGGUCUGAGAGGAUGAUCAGUCACACUGGAACUGAGACACGGUCCAGACUCCUACGGGAGGCAGCAGUGGGGAAUAGUGGACAAUGGGCGAAAGCCUGAUCCAGCCAUGCCGCGUGUGUGAAGAAAGUCUUCGGAUUGUAAAGCACUUUGGGUUGAGAGGCGUUACCAGCAGAAUGGGCACCGGCUAACUUCGUGCCAGCAGCCGCGGUAAUAC
rnacentral:rRNA from 1 species